rnacentral:rRNA from 1 species
GACGAACGCUGGCGGCGUGCUUAACACAUGCAAGUCGAACGGUAAGGCUCCAGCUUGCUGGGGUACACGAGUGGCGAACGGGUGAGUAACACGUGGGUGACCUGCCCUGCACUUCGGGAUAAGCCUGGGAAACCGGGUCUAAUACCGGAUAGGACCGCACCGUGAGGGUGUGGUGGAAAGUUUUUUCGGUGUGGGAUGGGCCCGCGGCCUAUCAGCUUGUUGGUGGGGUAAUGGCCUACCAAGGCGGCGACGGGUAGCCGGCCUGAGAGGGUGGACGGCCACAUUGGGACUGAGACACGGCCCAGACUCCUACGGGAGGCAGCAGUGGGGAAUAUUGCACAAUGGGCGGAAGCCUGAUGCAGCGACGCCGCGUGGGGGAUGACGGCCUUCGGGUUGUAAACUCCUUUCACCAUCGACGAAGGGUUUCUGACGGUAGAUGGAGAAGAAGCACCGGCUAACUACGUG